rnacentral:lncRNA from 1 species
AUGUCUCUCCACGGUGGCAGGGGACCGGAGCACGCAGAGGAAACCCACAUGAAGGCGAGGAGAACAUACAGACUCCACACAGACAGCGCCCCAGGGCCCCAGUGCUGCGAGACAGCAAUGCCUACCACUGUGCCGCCCUACUUCACGUCAAUCUUUAUCAGCUUGCAAUCCUUGACCGCAGACGUAAUCAGUCCGGGGCUGGUGUGGCUGCAGAGCCUCCUCACACCUGGCCCGCCUCCCCUCUGCGCCGCCCGGCCCGUCGAGCCGCCUGGGAGUGGGUUGGAGACAUGGGAAGAAGUUAAAAUGCCAAACGAGAAAGGAGAGGGCUCGGUGCCAUUUAACACCCCGCGCACGGUAGCUGUCUGGCACUGAGCUGCAGGGCGCGAUCUGGUCUCAUCCCCGUUCCCACAGAGCCACAGGCCUGAUGCCCCGCAUCUGAGAAGGGCCUCAGCAGAAUGAGUAAUGUGACGCCCCCUAGCAGGCGGAGAGAGACUUACUACACUCUCCAAAAUGCUCCAGAACGCUCCAGCCCUGGGGGGGGGGCACGUCUGGAUGCGCUCCAGACCUGUGUGUUAUUUCUAAGCAGCGCUGACAAGAACAGUACACUUUAAAUAAUAAACCAUGAAAAGAGCUUUCUCAUUCAAUAUGCAUAGACCGCCAAGAGGAACCCGGCUUCUGAGUGAAAGACAAGAGGCAGGCAGACGUGGGGUGAGACUUGGAGAACUCCUUUCCUUCCCCGAGUGUAUGAAGAACACCUCUCCAGCACAGCCCUG